AUUGAACGCUGGCGGCAUGCCUUACACAUGCAAGUCGAACGGCAGCGCGGGAGCAAUCCUGGCGGCGAGUGGCGCACGGGUGAGUAAUACAUCGGAACGUGCCCAAUCGUGGGGGAUAACGCAUCGAAAGCUGUGCUAAUACCGCAUACGAUCUACGGAUGAAAGCAGGGGAUCGCAAGACCUUGCGCGCAUGGAGCGGCCGAUGGCAGAGUAGGUAGUUGGUGAGGUAAAGGCUCACCAAGCCUUCGAUCUGUAGCUGGUCUGAGAGGACGACCAGCCACACUGGGAGUGAGACACGGCCCAGACUCCUACGGGAGGCAGCAGUGGGGAAUGUUGGACAAUGGGCGAAAGCCUGAUCCAGCCAUGCCGCGUGCAGGAUGAAGGCGUUCGGGUUGUAAACUGCUUUUGUACGGAACGAAACGGUCUUUUCUAAUAAAGAAGGCUAAUGACGGUACCGUAAGAAUAAGCACCGGCUAACUACGUG
rnacentral:rRNA from 1 species